GACGAACGCUGGCGGCGCGCUUAACACAUGCAAGUCGAGCGAUGAAACUUUAACAGAACCCUUCGGUGCGGAGACAAAGUGGAUUAGCGGCGGACGGUUGAGUACCCCUUGAUUAACCUGCCUUACACAUAGGUAUAGCUUCGGGAAACCGGGAUUACUACCAACUAAAAUCAUAAUGACACAUGUCAUAACGUGCAAAACUCCGGUGGUCUAAGAUGGACUUUCGUCCCGUUAGCUAGUUGGUAGAGUAAAAGCCUACCAAGGCGACGAUGGGUAGCCGGCAUGAUAGGGUGACCGGUCACAUUGGAGCUGAGAAACAGUCCAAACUGCUACGGGAGGCAGCAGUGGGGAAUAUUGCACAAUGGAGGGAAAUCUGAUGCAGCGGCGCCGCGUGAACGAAGAAGGCUUUCGAGUCGUAAAGUUGUUUUAUAUGGGGAGAUAAUGACGGUACCAGAAGAAAAAGCCCCGGCUAACUACGUG
rnacentral:rRNA from 1 species